rnacentral:pre_miRNA from 1 species
UUAAGUCAAAUUUGUAUGCAGUUGGAACAGCGCCCCUAGCGGCAAACGUAGGCAAACGUUCGAACUGCAUAGAAAUUUGAGUUA